AAAAAAAGAAUUCUUACCAGUUGAACCUCUGGCUUCUUUCUCUCUGUCUGUGAAAACAUGGUUGUAGAUUCUCUCUCCUCCAUGACUCCAUGACUUCCCUUUUACUGGGAACCUAUGCAUAGGACUCUGAGAGAGAUCUGUCAUUUUCCCCAAAACCAGGCCCCCUGUCAGCAUGAAGCAGUUAGAUAUACCUCUUCAGAGAUGUGAUUGAUGGCAGCGGCAGCCCAUCUGGACCAGCCACUGCCGUGACGCCAUCAGUGUGAGACGUGUAGCUAGGGCUGUGCACUCCACAGAGCUGGUGGGAGCUGGGAAUAGGUGAAAACCCUGCCUCCUUGUGAGUUGGCAGGACGGGAGCCUCCUGUUCCCUGGCUGCUGUUGUGGCCACCGAGCCGCAGCCCUGGAGCCAGGCAUCCCUGUGCUUGGGGAUCAGAGCGAGCAGGAGCAGAGCCUCUCCCUUCUGGGUGCAGCUGCAGCUGCCCAGCCAUGGCUGUGGUCCCGGAAGUCUCUGUGCUCUUGGGAGCUGGGAGGGCCCUCUGCCUCCUGCCCCUUACGCACUCCAGAGUCUCCUCUCUGUUGAGAGCUAAGCAGACAUCAGGACUACCAGCUGCAGAGAGGAGCUACCCACUGUGGGCUUCGUCUCUAAUGAGAGCUGAACACUCACUGGGAUGCCCUGCCUAUGGAAACCAGCUGUUCACUCUGGGUCUCCUCUGAGCUGUUCCGUCGCUCAGUAAAGGUCUUCUUCUGCUUACUCGCCCUCCAUUUGUCUGCCUUACCUCAUUCAUCCUGGACACAGGACAAGAACUUGGGACUUGCCGGUAUGGUGGAGCUAAAAUAGCUGUAACACAAACAGGAUUGAAACAUGCCCCUUGCUCGCCACAUUGUGGAUGACAAGAGGGAGGGAAGAAAGGAGAGAAGAUCUGCGACCCUUCGGCAAACCCAGACUUAGGAGAUCGGAGAGCCAAGACUGUGACACCCUUUCUGGGGCUCUGUGGUUCCUGGCGUCUCCAAGCUUCUGGGCACCUCGGCUUUCCCCGGUGCCAGUCGUGGAAGCUGCUUGUGCAGAGUCUUGCUUUGUCACCCAGGCUGGAGUACAAUGGCGUGAUCACAGCUUACUGAAACGUCUGCCUCCCAGGUUCAAGCGAUUUUUCUGCCUCAGCCUCUGGAGUAGCUGGAAUUACAGUGUUAGCAGUCCCUGAUGCUCAAACGUAAGUCCUUUAUUCAUCAAUUUAUUGGUUUCUUUUUGUUUUAGCUUGAAUAUUAUUAUAAGAUAAUUAUUUUCUUCUAUUAUUUCAUUACCCAGUGGUAAAGUUGAAAUAGGAAAGGAAAAAAUAUUUGAUUUUUUUUAUUUUUUAAAUUUUCCAGAUAGUUGAUUUGUUCCAUAUUAUCUCAGAAAGUGACCAAAUGGUUUUGUUAUUCUCUUAAUAUUAUUACAAAAUUAUAAAUUUUAACAUUUUUUGUUGAGUGAGUUUCAAUCCAUUGUAGUUCUUCCUGAAGCUCAAAUUACUUCUUUUGGUAGCAGACCUCACUUAAAUUUGACUUUUAAAUCCUUUUGACAUGACAUCAGAGUGUGAUAAGUUUGAUACCAUGCUUAUUUUCUAUCAGAUCUGGACUGGAUACUGAAAGAUGCUCAUUGCUACUGGGUUGGUCACCACAAAUUGAAACUCUUUUUUUUCUCAAAGCUCCAAAAUGUAUAUUCUUUUAAUUUUAUACUUAAAUAUAUUUGCUUACUGAGUAAGAUUCCCUAACAGAAAAAUAAAUUCCAUGUUUAGAAUCUGGAUACUUUUACUCUUUCUGGAGUUCCUGAUUAUACUCAGUUGAUUAUUUUAUGACAUUAAUAAAGAGAAAAUACAAAGACCUGAAUUACAAUGUCUUAUUCCCAUACUAAACAAUAAUUUCUCAAUUUAAUGUAAAGUAAUUCUCCCUUCAGUGAUAUUUGUGUUUUAUUUAAUGCAAAUAAACUUUUGUAGGUGUAAAGAGGAUCAGUUAAUCAGUGUAAUAGUUAAGGAUUGAAUGACAGUCUUGAUAUUCUGUUGUGUGCGUAAUUGGGUGAAAAAGUUUUUUAAAAAAUUUACCAGGCUUCAUAUUGAUAAAACAGCUGUGUCAAAUUUACGUUUAAAUCAAUUCAAUUUUAUAAGUUUGUUCAUCAAAACUCAAAACUACCUGUAUUACAGAAGAACAAUUAGAAUUUAUCCAGGUAGUUGUUAUGGAAUACUAAUCUGCACAUAUUGAAAGACAACAAAAGUUAACAUUUAAAUGUAGUUUAAAAAAGAGAAAAAUAAUAAAAUCAUUGAAAAUAAAAAUAAAGGCUUGUAGAGACACAACAAACUUGAAAAGGUCGGGACAAUUAUUAUAUAUGAGUAGGAGAGUAUAAUCUUGAUGAGUAUGUGAGAAAAUGUAAUUUGGUGAGAGUAGAAAAUCAGAGGUAGAGAUACAAUUUAUGGGAGUGUCAAGUUUGUGUUGUAAAGACUGCAGAGUUACUGUCAGCUUGUCUACAACAGAAGCAUGGGAAGGAAAGGCAAUGGGAAUAGAACAGAAAUCUAAACACAGAAUAAGGAGCAAGCAUUUAUUCAGAGCAACUCAUC